CGUGCUUAACACAUGCAAGUCGAACGAUGAACCCGGAGCUUGCUCCGGAGGAUUAGUGGCGAACGGGUGAGUAACACGUGAGUAACAUGCCCUUCGGUUCGGAAUAACACAGUGGAACUUGUGCUAAUACCGGAUACGAUCUACGGAUGAAAGAUUUAUCGCCGAGGGAGUAGCCCGCGUAGGAUUAGCUAGUUGGUGAGGUAAUGGCUCACCAAGGCGACGAUCCUUAGCUGGUCUGAGAGGAUGAUCAGCCACACUGGGACUGAGACACGGCCCAGACUCCUACGGGAGGCAGCAGUGGGGAAUAUUGGACAAUGGGCGAAAGCCUGAUCCAGCCAUGCCGCGUGAGUGAUGAAGGCCUUAGGGUUGUAAAGCUCUUUCGCCAGGGAAGAUAGUGACGGUACCUGGAAAAGAAGCCUCGGCUAACUCCGUGCCAGCCGCCGCAGUAA
rnacentral:rRNA from 1 species